UACGGGGGGGGCAAGCGUUGUUCGGAAUUACUGGGCGUAAAGGGCUCGUAGGUGGCCAACUAAGUCGGACGUGAAAUCCCUCGGCUUAACCGGGGAACUGCGUCUGAUACUGGGUGGCUUGAGUUCGGGAGAGGGAUGCGGAAUUCCAGGUGUAGCGGUGAAAUGCGUAGAUAUCUGGAGGAACACCGGUGGCGAAGGCGGCAUCCUGGACCGACACUGACACUGAGGAGCGAAAGCCAGGGGAGCAAACGGG
rnacentral:rRNA from 1 species